rnacentral:lncRNA from 1 species
UUUUAUCUUAAUAAAUUAAUAAUAAUUUAAAGAGCAUAAAAAUGGAUAAAUAAUAGAAGUUUAGCAUAUCUUCCUCCAAAACGUAGCGUUUUGGCCGAAUAUAUGGGGAUCUGUAGGUGUGAUACUGUCUGAUUCGGACCACAGUACGAAACCUGAUUUCCAACAACAUUCAAAGACCCACAGAAAUAAUAAUUAAAAUAAAUUAAAAGGAAAAUAGAAAAAAAACAAAAAACCACGUUUUCACUCGUACUAUUACUUUCCUUCAAAGGCAAGUUCACCGCAUCAUCAUGAGAUUAAGACCAGGAAUGGACGGCGAGGAUCAAAUCACGCUCAUCGACCUCUAUAAAUAGGCAGUCCACCCAGCCAUAUCACACUCCGUCUCUGAAAAACCACCCCAAGCCCAACAACCACACCUCUGAUACUGGACGGUAGCCGGUGGCGAGAGAAAUGGUCAGAGGUCCGACGAGACAGACAGUGAGAGAAAGCAAAGGCAUUACUAUUCUACGAUGGUACGGUUCUUCAGUGUGGGGUCCGUCGUGGUGCUGGCGGUUCUAGCCGCGUCGCUGGUGGUCCUGCCGUUGAUGCUGCCGCCGCUGCCUCCCCCGCCGCUGAUGCUUCUCUUCUUCCCCGUGGGCAUUAUGGCCGCCCUCAUGUUGUUGGCAUUCUCGCCGACGGACGCCGCCGGACACGUGGCAGUUUGGGCGGUGUAGGUGGAGGAAGCUGGUUGGGUGGCUCCGAUUGUGGUUACAAUACUUUGCCUUGUUUUUUUUAACAAAGUUCAGAAUCAGUGGAUAAUGAUUUUGUCUCAGUGCUGACGUCAUUAUUGUUGUUCAUCUUUUGAAAAUAUAUUAGCUGAAAGCAGAUUCAGAUUCAGAGUGUUUUGUUUUUGUUUUUGUGUUUUCAAAAUUAGAAAGUGAUUUAGAAAAACAAAGCUUAAAACAGCUGUGUAUGAUGAUCCAUGAAUGAAUGAAAGAAAGAAAGUAAGAAAGGAUGAUUCAGAAUUUAAAUGGAAUGUGAUUUGUGAAAGGAUGGAAGUUUGGUUGCUGUUUUGAAAACAAAAAACAUUAAAAACAUGUUUGAGAAAUGGGAUGUAUUUUUAUUUUUUUGUAUUUCUUGUGUUCUUAAAAACCAUUUGAGAAAUAUUUUCAUUAUUUUUUUAUUGUUCACGAAACUGUAGGUGAUUUUUUACUAUUUAAGUAACUCUUUUUUUAAAUAAAAAAUUAUAAUUAAUUUAAAAUUUUUAAAAGAAAUCAUUUUAUUGAUUUAAAUGAAUUAUACAUAUAAAAAUUAUUUAUAUAUUUAUAAUAUCAAAUUAACUAAAAAAAAUAUUUCAUUAAUUAAAAAAACAGCUUUUAAGUAUAUUUUUUAUUUUAUUUAUUUAAAAAAAAUUAUUAAUUCUAUCAAAUGCAUUUUUUUUUUGUUUUUGAGAACAAAAGUUGUUUUCUGGAAUUUAGGUUUUAAACAUAAUUUAAAAAAAAAAUCAAAAACUAUCCUUAAAAAAUGUUAUCAAAAACUGUUUUUUAAAGAAUAGCUUUUAAAAACAGUAAACAAAUAGGCCUAUUUAUGAUUUUGAGAUGAUUUGAAAACAUACUAUUUUCUCGUGCAUCAGCUUAGGAAGCAGUGCAGAGAGGCAGUGAAAUAGGAUUUUUGAAGUUAAAAAAUUGGGCGGUGAGAACUUGAGAGCAACAAUAAAGUAGGAAAUAGAAUGGAUUUCUCGUUUGUUCCAAAGAUCCAAACAGAUCUUUAAAGGUUGAUACUCUGCUUCACAUUUAAAAAUGGUCUUUUCUUCUUAAAAACAGAUCUUCUAUUUUUAUGACUCAUUGUAAAAAGGGGAAUCUCUAAUAAAAAUUCGUUCAACUUUCUUUUUACAUUCUAUUUUCUUUUCCUUCUUCUUCUUCUUCUUCUUCUUUUACUUUAUUAUUUUACAACAUUAUUAUUUUACAACAAACAAUAUGUUCUCUUUCUUAUUUAUUUUGAAUUAAUUGGUUAAAAGAUAUUAAAUAAUCCCCUAUUUAUGAAUUUAAUAUUUUUCAUGUUUUUUUCUUAAAGAAUAAUCUAUUUUUGAUAUAAAUGUCCUUAAUUAUUUUAAAUAUUUAUACAUAAGUUUUAAAAGAAAUGGUUAUUUUUAUAAGAAAAAAAUAAGAGCAUUUUUGUCAAAAUGUGGUAAAAAAAUGAUGAAUGAUUAAAUUUUCAAAAUGGAGUUUUCAAUAACUCUUCUAAUCAAAUAAUCUAUUUAUUUUUCCAUUGCUUAGAACUAAAAUCUUGAAAUAUGAUUUUCUUUGAGAAAAAUUUAAGGAAAACAAAUAAAGAGAAAAAAAUAAAUUAGAAGCUCCUCAUUUUUUUUCUAGAAUCAUUUGUUUUUCAUUUAAAAUCUUUAGAACUUAAACAUUGAUUGAAUUAAUACUAGAAAAUCAUAAAACUAAAAAUCAAUCUAAUAAGAGUACAAUUAAAUGUGAUUAUUGGAAAUGUUUUUAGUCUAAACAAUGUUUUUUUUAAAAAAAAAAAAAACUAGUGUUUGGUAAAAUUUAGGAAACACUUAUGAGUUUGAUAGUGAUUUUAGGAAGUAUUUUUAGAUUUUCUAAAACUUGAAAAUUUUUAUCUUGCAAGUAUAAAAAAAGUUAAGAAAUACUUCCUAGAAUCACUACCAAACACACGAACAUGUUUGGUAGUAAUUUAAGAAAAUGUUUUUAACAUUUCUAACACUUGAAUAAUACAAAUUUUAAAGUGUUAAAAAGUUUGGAAACACUUCUUAAAAUCAUUACCAAACUGGUUAUAAAUAGUGUUGAAAAAUCAUUUGUAAUAUUUUAUAGAGAAACAUAAUAUGUGAUUCUUCCAAAAAUACUUUAAAAAAAACAUUUUCAUUAAAAACUCUUCAAAAGAAAAACGCUAUUAAACACACUCUAAAUACCAUAAAGUCGUACUAUAAAAGCGAUUUUGAAUGAUUUUAUUAGCUUCUCUUUACAAUGUAAUUAAAACAAAAAAGUAACUUUACUAUAAAAAUUUAUGAGUUAAAUCUCAUCUAAAAUGACUUCAUUGUUUUUACUUUGUAUAUAAUUGCAUUUUUAUGAUUUUUUUUUCAUUCGAUAAAUGAAUUUCAAAUUAAAGGAAAUUUAAUAUAUUGUUAAUGAGUUUAGUAAUUUUUAAAAAUAUCUUAAAAUAAAAUAAAAAAAAACCAAAUCAAUGUAACAAAAUAAUAUAAGAAAAAACCUGGUAUAAAACAAAUUAUCUUUACUAUUUUUCCUUUGCAUAUAAACAAAUAAAUUCUAAAUCAAAAGAGACCAAUAAAUCAAGGAAGACAUAAAGGUUGUUUGGUAAAAUCUAAUAUUUAUUAUUUAAUUACUUAAUUUUACCUUAAUUUAAAUUAUUAUUAAGUUAUUUACUUAAAACCUAUUAUUUGGUUUUUACUUUAAAUAUUAAAGGUCUUUAUUAACUUAAAAUUUAUUAUAAAUCAUCGAAUUGACAUAAUCACUCUUAUGAAUCUUAACUAUUAUUUACACUGAUUAAUUUUAACUAAUAUCUCAUGCUAUUAAUUUUAAACAAUGAAUUAGUUUGUUAAAUAUUUAUAUUUAAAAUAUUACAAAUACAUAAAAUAAUCAAAAGAUAUUUACUAUAAAAUUCAAUCAUGGAUGUAGAGUUAUACUCAUAAAAUAGACACUCACUACAUAUGGGUAAAUGAGAUAAAAUAAAUUUGACAUUAAAAAUAAGUUAAUUAUUUUGACUUAAUAUUUAAAAGUUAUUAUUAACAAUAUUAAGUUAUUUUACUAGAUAUGUUUAAUCUACUUAAUGAUUUAAAUUAAAUUAUUAAAUCAAUAAAUUAACUUAGCAAACAACCUAUUAGAGUCCAUUUGAGAGUACUUUAAAAAAAAAUGCUUAUAGUUUAAAAAGAACUUUUGAAGAAAAAUUAGGUGUUUUGACAAAAUUUGGAAAACUCUUUUUAAAAAAUUGAAAGAAUCACUUAUAGUUUUUCAUAGAUAAACAUUUGAUAAAUGAUUAUUUUAAAAAUAAUUUUAGAGAAAAUAAUUCAACUAAAAGAACUUCAAAUAUAAAUACUCCUAAAUAUGCUCUUAAUGUUUUGUUUUUAUUUUUAUUUUUAAUUUUUUUUAUUUCUAACGAAUCUAUUAAUUUUUAAUAGUAAUUUGAAAUUUAAGUUACUGAUUCAAUUAAUAGCGUACUAAGUAAAAUUGAUUCAAAAUACUUUUUCUAUAAUUGAGCAGUAUAUAUGUACAUAGAAUAAAAAAGCUUGAGUAUAUAUAUUUUUAAAAGAUUUCACUUAGUUUUAAAUUCAUUUUAAAUAAAAUAUUUUAACCAUUCUUAUUUUAAAAGAUUAUUCAUUAUAUAGAGAAUUCAAGUAUGAAUUUACAAAUGUAAAUAUCCAUAUUUUAUAAUAUCUAAUAAAAUAAUAUAUUUUUUUAAUAAAAAUAUUAUUAAUGAUUUUAUGAUAAUAUUAGUAUUCAUACUUUACUAAAAAAAUAUUUAUUUUUAAUUAUGAAACCAUUUUUUUUUAUUUGUAAUAAGACUUGAAUUGAAUUUAAUGGAUAUUAACAUAAAUUGAAAGUAAAAAUAAAAAUAAAAAUAAAAAUAAAUUAUUAAAAUAUAUUUACUUAAAUGAGUUUUUUUAUUUUUUUAAGAAAUAUUUUUUAAAAUAACUUUUCAAAUACUCUUAUUUUAGAAAAUACAAGAAAACUAUUUUUGUUUGUUAUUUAAUUUGAAAGUAAUUUUUAAAAAUAAAUUUUAGAAAACAUGCCAAACUAACAUGUACUUUCCUUGCCUUUUCACUUUGAACUAAGCAUAACAAAUCAUGGAAAAGAAAUAUGAUAUCAAUGAUAUCAUGUCAAGUUAAAAAUUGACACAAAAACUUGAAUGAUUAGUUAGUGAGUAAAUGAUAUAUCAAAUUUAUUUGAAUUAUACUCUAACCAAAGUAUCUCAGCUGAAUAUUUAUGAUUUUAGGCAAUAUUUGGUUUAAAAAUUAAGUUGGAGAAAAAUAAAUUACUUCAAAAUAGGAGAGCCAUUGCUAGGUUGCAGGGUGGGAAAUCCAUCCAUUACAUACUUGAGCCUACCUUUGAAAGCGUCGUAACAAAACUGCAAGGGAUUUAAGAUGUGAUAGCAUAGAGAUUUCAAAGAAGACUAGUCAUGCGUACAAAGGUAACACCUCACAAAAGAAGAGAAAUUUACUUCGAUCAAAAGUAUGUGAUUAAGCCUUCUAAUUUAUUUAAUGUCUCCAUUUAUCAUUACAAGAAGGUGAUCUUAAUAUUAGAGUAGAUCCAAAGAGAUAUCGUUUGGAGUGAGGGAGCAUUUGUAAAAAAGACCUUAUUGGGUAAAUUGGCUCAUUACAGACUUGGACAAAAAGAAUGAAAGUCUUGACAUUAAAAAUUUAUUUACUCCAAAUAAGGCUUUCAUUGACAAAUAGAGUUAAAAUUCACAAUUAAGAGAGUCACCUUGGGAAUGGGCCAUGAUGGAAAAGUUUGAGGAAGAAGAGGGAAGAUAAUGCUUGAGGGGUGUGAGGGAAGGUUUUGGAGUGGGGGUGUGCAAAGUAAUUAGAAAUGAUGAGGGUUUUUAAAAGUAUAUCUCGUUUCAUAGUUGGUAAUAGAAGAAUAGUUAAAGUUUGAAACGAUAGAAGACAUGGUGACAUCUUUAGAAAAGUUUUUCCCUUUUCUCUAUAGCCAUCAUUAAAGACUCUAAGGUAGUAGAGGUGUGGAAGCAAGUAGGAGAGGGGUUAGUAUGUAGUGUGGUGGCCUAUCUUUGAAAGAGCAUUUCUUGACUUUAUUUAUUAUAGUCAUCGCUAAAAACUCUUGGGUGGUAGAGACAUGGGAACAAGUAAGGGAGGUGGAUUAAUGGAGUUCCCACUUCUCCAAAGAGUUCUAUGAUUGGGAAUUUGAAAGAGUAGAGACCUUUUUUAGAAAAUUGCAAACAAGCUCAAUUACAAGAGACGAGUGUGAUAAAAUAGAUUGGAAGAAAUCCAAUUAUGACAAGUUAUCUAUCAAAUCUUUUUACUUAUCCUUAGCCUGUGGAAUACGACAAUUAACCAUUUUCCCACAAGCACAGUUUGAAACUCUCAAACUUGCUUAAGAUUAAGUUUUUCAUUAGAAUAUUCAUCUCGACUUAAAUAUUAGAUUACAGGGCUCUACAAUCUCAUCUUCAUACAUUUUAGAAGAUUAAAGAAAACUACCAAAAAAAAAAAAAAAAAAAACCAACUAAAAACAACUACAAAAAACCCCAAUAAAAAACAACCGCAAAAAAAUCCUAACCAAAAUUCCACCACAAAAAACUUCAAUGAAAGUUCCGAUAGAAAAUAAUUGCGAAAAACCUCCAAUGAAAGACAAUUACAAAAAACUCCAACUAAAAAAAAUCAUAAAAAACCCUAACAAAAAAAAAAAACAUUGUUGAAGUUUAAAUAAAAUUUUAAAAAAACCAACAAAAAACAACCUCAAAAAAUCUCAACAAAAAACAACUUAAAAAAUCUCAACAGAGAAGCCAUUGCAAAAAACAACCACAAAACCCCUAACAUAAAGAGAAAUUAAGAUGAAUGAUAUUAAAAAAGAAAUAAGGAUGUGAGAGAGUUGUAGUUGAUUUUUAUUCAUUGAUCUUCAUUAUAGGUUUGGAAGUUCACUAGAAGAAAAGAGAGCGUGUAUGUAUGAAAAAUGAGAGGAAAAUGAUUCGAGCAUGAGAGGGAAAUGACAUUUUUGAGGAAACAAAAAAGGGUAAUAAUGUCCAAAAUGGAGACUAUUCUUCCAAUUUUAAAAAUAUUUGAAGUUUUUUAACCGAAUAUCUCUAAUUUUUAAUAUAUUAUAAUAUCAGAAUAUUAAAAUAUAAAACACCCAAAAUUUGGAUAAAGUAAAUUAUAAAAUUUUAUUUUAUUGUUGAAUAUAUCUUUUUAAAUAUGAUUAUGCCAUUUAAUAAAAUUAGAAAUAUUAAUAUAUUCAUAUGUUAUCAAAAUCCUUUAAUAUGUCAAUACCAAUGAUAAAAAAGAUGAAAUAUCUUUCAGUUUUUUAAUAUUAUAAUAUUGAAGUAAAACUUAAACCAAUGAUCUAAUUGAAACAGAGGAUUCAGAUGUAUUUUGCAAGUCCAAAAGUAAAAUACAGAGAAGGAAGAAAGAAACAAGAAGAAAGUAAUAGGCUUGUAGCAGCAAUGACAGUGAAAGAGUGGUACACUUUUAUUAAACUUCAAAUCCAAGUCAAAGGAAUAAGUCCACAAGUACAGCAAACAAUAAGAUAACAAGAAAGAGGAAUGAUAUACACAAGCUGCAUACAUUCUUAUUCCCAAAAGAAAUUUUGGUUACCUCAUCAGCUGUUGAGUCCAGAGUUUGUAGUUGUGGGCUGUGGGCAAAUAUUUACAAGCAUACUGAGAAUUCAAGGGCUGCAUGCAAUGUUCAGCAUGGACAAAUUAUUCAACUGUGUGUAAUAUAAAACAAGAUAUAGGCUUCAACACAACAGAGGCAAUAACAUUUGAGCAGCCCAUUUUUCUGCCUUUUUUGAUUCAGCAGUGCAUGGGUUUUUGAGGAAGUUUGUCUUCAGUCCACUUCUUCAACAGCUCUAGCGCAGCUCAGGGCUGACCAGCAUCAUGGACCUGUUUAUUUUUACAUACAAACCAAACCACCAUGUCAGCACUAGCAAUCAUCUACUUCCUUCAUAAGUCUACUGCUAUGUGAGAAAGAGCUGGUUUGAGAGAGAGACCUUGAGGAACAGGUCUCUUUCAAGUGUAUGCAGCAAUGCCUUGGCCACCUCUAUACUUUCUGACAUUUUUAUUUUCCAGCUGAUUUCAAACACAAAAAGAAGAAAAGGAAGAGUGAAAUCUUAGAUGAGUGAUGCUGAAUGCUAAACUUGUAUAAGGGUCUAUUUGGCAGCAGAGAUGAGAAUGCUCUUAUUUUUUUUUUCUGAGAAUGGAAGAAAUGAAAAUUGAUUAAAAACAUGUUGAAAACAUGAAACAUUUCCAAAAAAAAAAGAAAAAAAAACAUGUUGAUAACUCAAAGUAACAUAUUCAUGCUUGCCAAUCUUCAAUCUUUUUGAUCACUUUUAUAAUUGCAGAAAAGAAAGGCCUAAUAAGCAUUCACCACCUUCAUCAUUCUUUUCUUCUUACCUGAGAGAAGAAAUUCUAAAAAUGAAGCACUAAAUUUAAAAAAUGAGGCAGUAACUUAUCCGGCUUACCCAAAAAGUGUUUAGAAAACAGAUAAUCAUGAAUUGUUGAGGUCAAGAACAUAUCGACAUGCAAAUAUGUUUCUUGAUUUUUGGAAAUUUUGGGUUUCACCUGCAUCUUCUUUUUAUUCUUUCUUUCCUAAAUGUAGAGAAGAAACUUCCACUCUUAAUCUGAAAAUGAACUCAGUAUUGGGGCAAUGAAAACAGGAGCUGCACAUUGUGAAUGGGCAAGGCUUACCUUACUGAAAAAAGGGGAAGAGAUAUCAUUGCCUUCAUUUCAAGCAGCCCAUAUGAUGAAUAUCUAAUGGCAGGCAAUGGAUGUGGGAUGUCUUGAUCUGAAAUAAAGAAGAACAGGUCAGUUAAGCAUGUGAAAAGAGUCUAAACACAGUUUUAGCUUUAUGUUUGUUCUAUUUAUUAAGAACAUAAAAUCAUAAGCAAAUUUCAAUAGAACAGUAGAACUAACCAUGCUUGUGUGGAACUGAGGCCAAUGAGUUAAAGAGAAAAUGCCAAUUAGUAACAGCUGCUAAAGCCAUCUAUUCAUGAGAGGACAAACUGGAACUGGGAUUGAGUUCCAAAUAGCCAUACCACACCUGAUUGAGUUUCCUUUUUUUUUUUUUUCAUGAAGAAAACCUGGAAUUCAUCUGGAACAUUGUUAUCAGUCGCUUAUCUCAAGUCUUGGAAGUGUUUCAGGAAGCCCUUUGGACUGGAGCUUAGGGUACCUAUAGAUGGAUAUACUUUCAAGAGAAGGGAGGUUUUUGAAAGCCAGAGAGGCCAUGGAAUCCAGUUUACUAAUCAAAAGUUUGCUUAAGAGUUGUAGGAAAAAGACAGCCAUCAUCUGAUAGAGAAGCCAGACCUGGACAUAGGCUAGAAAUAUACAAUGAUGAAAGAGAAGUAAGUGAGCCUGUCCUGGUUAGCACACAAUCUCUGAUAGAAAGUGCUGCAGGGUUGGAGGCCAAACUGCAGAGUCCUCUUCUUUUCCUAGUUAGCACAAUUUUCUAAUUUCAAAUAUUUAAGAUUGCAAGGCUGCCCUUGUUCCUCCAAGGGUGCAAGUCCAUGGCACUGCCAGAUCCCUAUACAUUCAAGACCACCGAGGAGGCAUUCUAAUCAAAACCCGCUCUGCUACAAAGAUGUCACCUCCCCACACGCUCUUACCACUGGUUUUUAAAAUAGGAAAUUUCUUGAUUUUAAGCAUUGAGAGUGUUCCGGGCAACAGCCCUUUCCUUUAGCAAACAUGGCCAGAGAAUUUCAAUGGUAUCAAAAGUAGAAACUAGAAUUUCAAUGGUAACAAAGUACAAACUUGUAUUUCAAUACUGUCAAAAGUAGAAAAUUGUAUCAAGUUCAUAACAAUUGUCUUUUAUGAAUGAGAUGGACUUUGCUUCCAUUUUUGUGAUAUAUAUGGAAAUAAGAUUCAAUGAGUUUAUUCAUUUGUGAAAAGCAGUCUCUAUGUAGGGAUGUGAACUAUCUUGGACUGAUUUCUAUAUUUGGAAGCGUGGCCAUCAACAGCCCUUCCUUUGGCAAAAUACACCCAAGUUUAGAUGGCUCCUAGUACUCCAAGAGGGUUAAGGCUGUGGAGCCACAUGGAUGGAAAUCCUAAUUCAGUGGUCUAUUAAUUGAUGAAAUCUAUGAAUAGAUUGUAAUGACACCAGCCAUGUGGAUAUUGUUCUCUUUGGCCCUUUGGACCUUUGGGUGACUCAAUAGAGGGGUACCUCACAAUUUAUAAUGUCCUGCUUACAACCAUGUAGAUAUUGUCUGCUUUGUACCCAAGGGGUCUUCUUGGCUUUAAAACAUGUCUACAUUGUUAAGAGAAACUUAUACAUAGUGCCAACUGUCAAGAAGUUUUUCUCUUAUCUGAUGUGGGAUAUCUUAUAGAUUAUAUUUAGAGGAAGCACACACAUACUCUGUAACAGUGAUGAAAUUUUGAAGAGAGGAGAGUUUAUGCAUGCCCACUUGGACAGGGCUCGAUAUUCCUGCAGUCCAUGAUGCAAGGUGAUACUAGGUUGAAGCAACAACCCCAUUUGAACUAACCAAAUCUAUGACUUGAAUUAAAAUUUGCAAAAACGAAAAAGCCACUUCUUUAGGUUGCUGGCCUUACUAAAAACAUGUUUUGGAUAAAAAGAAAGAUGGCUAAACACUACAACCAACUUCCAAGAACCUUUGGAACCAGAGCAAGCAAAUGAUCUCGACAUAUCGUAUUAUAACCUUAUCAUUAAUAAACAUCAAACACUGCAUAAUGCCAUGCCAGUUUCAAAGAUUCAUAAAUGUAAUGCACAUUUAUAAAGAACCAUAUUUAAGGCAUUAUAUAUGCUUGUGUGCUUAAAAAUGACAAACUCUAUAGGGAAACUUUAAAAAUAAAAGAAGUCUUACCAGAGUCAGCCAUGAAAUAGCAUUUCUGGGCUGAAGUGACCACAGUCCACAAUACUGCAAAAGAUGAUAGAAUUCCCAAGGAUCUUUAAUCUUGAAAAUAAUGUAUCCUUGUAAUGGAGGAUUAUGGACAAGAGCAACAUGGAAAACAAAAAAUUUAAGAAGAAAUACCAAGCCAUGAUUGCAGCAAGAAAUGAAGAACAUACCAGCAAGUGAAUAGGCAGCAGUUAAUGAUUAGGAAGUUUUGCAUCUAAUAAUAUUCACCAUUUCUUUUUUUUUUUCCUUCCUACAAAUUGAGAAGAAAUUUCUAUUAUUAUCUAAAAGAGGAAUCGAUAUUGGAUCAAUGAAAUUGGAAGCCAGGUAUCCUAAAGAGGCAGACAUACCCAUUUGUUUGCAUUCAUUUCUUUACUAGGGAAAGAAGAAUCCUUAGGAAGAACAAUCCAUCAUAUUGCAUAUAAGAAGAAUUGGAAACACAUAAGAAUAGACCAAUUUGGAGGCCAUGAUGCUGAUAAAGGUGGAAUAGAAUGUUAUCGAGGUUUCCUUCAUCUGAAACAUAUAAGUAAUAUACCAAUUAGGCGGGGCAAGAGGCUGCUGGAAGUAUGUGUUAUUUAUAGAAAGACAAAAUUACAUUAGAAUUAAUAGAAAGGUAGAAGUAACUAUGCUCACCCAGAACUGAGGCCGAGAACAAAAAGGGGAAUCAGAAAUUUAAUAGAAAGCCCCCAAUUAAUACCUGCAGCCAAGCCAAAGUCACCUAUACAUCAAGAGAAUGGAUCAUGUCUCAUCUCUCUCUCUUCUUUUUUCUUUGUUCACCCUGUCAAUACUUGCCAUAUCCUUAUUAAGCUGGAUCCCUGUAAAUGUGCAAUGAAAAUUGGCAGUCCAAUUAGCAUGGAAAAAACAGAGAGAACCUCAUACAUAUAUAAACAAGAGCUCUUUUCAGAUAGUUUGUACAUAGUUGCUUUAUAAUUACACUCCAAGUGGUUGAAGGAGUAAGUUCAGAUAGAAAUUGGAGUAAGAAACAAUGUAAAUAUUUAUAAAAUUAGAAAUGUUAUACCAUGAAGCUAUUUGGAUAAGCAAUGCAACAUUCCUCAUUCUUUCAUUCAACACCAGCUUUUUAGCCCUUUGUUGCCAUGGUUAGCUUAAGAUUCACUGACUACCAACAUAUGUUUACUUCUUUCAUCUUCUCCUCGAGAAGUUUAAGAAUGAAUAUGAUUCUUUUCCUUGGUUAAAAGAAAUGUUUCAAGUUUCAAAAUACAUUUUUGUUCCACAACUAAAAAAUCCUAACAUUUGAAUGGAAAUUCACAUCUGGGUAUCCAUGUCUAAGUCCAUUAAAUAUACUUCUAAGACAAUAAUAUUAAAAAUAUGAAAAUAAAAAACUUCAAAAAGAAAAAGGAAAAAGAUAAACAAAGAGAAGUGAAAACCAGGUUGUACCUGAAUGAACAAUGCAAGGAUAGGGUUGAAUGGCUUUCUGUUUCCAUUCUUUUUCCACCACCCGUAGAAUACUUUACUCUGCCAUCAAUUUUGAAUUUGGGGAUGUGGGCAAUGGAGGGAAAUUUCGUUUCUUGAAGAAGAGGACAGCCGAUGAUUUCAAGACUUGCAAGUGUUGUUGUCCAGAGUCUUAAGGAGUGGAGCCUAGGGCAGCACCCAAUAUAUAGAUGUUGAAGGGAGAUGAUGUUUUUGAGUUCCAGGGAGGUCAGGGAUUCCAUAUGGUUGAUAUGGAGGUUUGUGAGAGAUGUAGGAAAAAGGCACUUAUUGUCCCAAAGGGAAGCCUUGCCUGGAAACAUUUCCCAAAUCUUCAAUGUUGAAAGAGAGGUGAGGGUGUGGAGGCCCCACUCAGAUAUGGGCGUCUUCAGAUUCUUGCAAUUUAUAAUUGAAAGAAAUUUUAGGUUGGGGGCCAAACCCUCUUCUGGGAAGGACUUCACUCCCGGAGAAUUCUCCAUGUUGAAAACCUGAAGAGAUGUGAGGCUCUUCAUUUGACGCGGCAAGCACUCGAGAUUCUCACAUCUCCAAAUACGGAGCUCUCUGAGGUUGGGGGCCGAAAACCCUCUUUCUGGAAACCCUCUUUCUGUGAAGGCAUUCUGGUAGGAUUUUCAGAUUGGGAUAACCCCUCAACUCCAAAUACUCAAGAGCUGUAUUAUUGGGCCACAUUUUCUCUGAUACUGGCUCCAAGUUGGAGCAAUGCCGAAUCUCAAGCCGCUCAAGGGUGGGGGGUAACUCCCCUCUUGGGAAGAACUUGAGAGACUUGCAAUCAUGUAUCCUCAGUAUUUGAAGACAACAAUCGUUGUUGCUGUGUAUGGAAUUGCGGUGCAUCAUUCCAUCUGGUAGAUACUUUAGCCGUAUACAAUCUGCAACCAUCAGUUGCUUGAGGGUGGAGGGUAACCUACCAUGUGGAAAGCAGAUGAGAGAUGGACAACACCUAAUCUCCAAGGAUUCAAGGGGACAUGAGCUGUAGUUAUGGGGCAGCGACCUCAGGCUCCUGCAUUUCUGCAGCACAAGACGUCUGAGCAUGGGCGGCAAACCUGUCUCUGGGAAUGACUCCACUGCUAGGCAUCCCAUCAUUUCCAGCUCUUCAAGACAAGUGAGAUUCUGCAAUCCAUUUUGCAGGCUCUUCAGGUUGACGCAUAUCUUCAACAUUUUCAGAUUGCAAGGCAGUCUUUGGUCAUCCAAUGAUACAAGCCAGUCACAGCGGCCAAUCACUGCGCUUUCAAGACCACUGCAAACCCACCUAGAUGUCAGCUGAUCACCAUUAUCUGCAACCACCCCACUUCUCAACACCAUAUCCUUGCAUUCUUCUAUAUUUAGUUCACCUAGAGAUGCAAAUCUUGAGAAAGACACUGCCAGAUUUCGACAUUUAGAGAUGUCAAGUUUCACCAAGGAUGGCAGGCAAUCAGGCAACUGUCUAACUAACUUUGAGCAUUUCCUUAUGGUAAGGUCUCUUAGGCGUGGAAAUAAUUCAACUCCUUCAACUGCAUUAGGAAAAAACCAGUCUUCCCAUUUCGGCAUAUUCUCAAACUUUAGAAACUCCAGGGAUGGAAAAGGCUGGGCAAUCCCUCCAUAGAAUUCCACAUCUAUGGUUCUAAUAUCACUCAUCCCUUCAAUAUGCAAGGUCUUGAGUAAGGAUAAUUUGCCGAGAGAUGGUAACGAGGUGCAUCUCCUGCAAUUCUUUAGAAUUAAUUGUGUCAUUGAUGGGAAUGAGGGGUCCCUUAUCCAACCUGAAAAUGUUGAUCCACCAUAAAAUGCCACUGUGAGCCUUUUCAAGUUUCUAGGUGGUCGUAGCCCCUCUAAAACAAUCAUCUCAUUCAUUCUUUUUCGUGAAUUACCAAAAUCACCGCCCCAUUCCAUUGUCAACUCUUCAAUGUAGUGCUUUUCUUCUAAAUUAGCAUGCAUUGCAUCUCCAGUAUCCACCACAUUAUGCAACCCAGAAAUGGAAAGCUUCCCUCGAAGGUCCUGCAAGUUCUUCAAUUCUCUUAUUCUCAAACUAUCACUUUCUCCCACAAUGUAUUUAGAUAAUGUUUGCAAAUUUGUGAGUUUGCUGAUGGAAGGUAUCUCCUGUAGUUGACUAGUACCAGAAAUAUCAAUAUGUCGAAGGUUGAUUAAGCCUCCAAUCACAAGAGGCAACUUAGUGAGUCUCCAACAAUCGGAUAAUAUUAAUGUCUGUAGAUUGUAAAGAUGACCCACGGAGUCAGGUAACAUUUUUAUUGAAGAGUUGGACAAAUUGAGAUAACGUAGAUGUCUCAAAUCACCAAUUGAAUGUGGUAGCUCUCCACUUAUGUAAUAGCCACUUAAAGAUAAUUCACGUAAACAUUUAAAUUGCUGUAUAAAGUUAUUUAUUACCUUAUUUGAUAUGAAGUGAUAUCUAGAAAAGGCAUUCAGUGGCAAUGCAACCAGUGUUCGCAAACACUUCAUCUUAUGAAAGACUUUGAAUCUUUCAGGCAUCUCAUACUCUUGACUAUUGAAAGAUAAAUGACGAGCCUUUUUAAAAGUGGUGGAUUGUUUGUUAUUCACUAAUAUACCCUCCAAAUUAAAGCAUGUUUCUCCUGCUAUAUAUUUAGCUAGAUCAUUGAUUAGGUCAUGCAUCACAAAUUGAGAUGAAUUGUGAUUAGAUUGUUGAAAAAAUGACCUUGACAAUAAAUCAUAGAAGUAUUUAGAACCCAAGUCUUCCAGCCGGGUAUUUUCCUUUGUUUGUUGAAGAAAACCCUCGGCCAUCCAUAAUUGGAUUAACUCAUCCUUGUCGAAUUCAUAGCCUUUCGGAAAUAUUGAACAAUAGGCAAAACACUGCUUCAAAUGAGAAGGGAGAUGAUGGUAGCUUAACUUGAGAGCAGGAAUAAUGCGGCAUUUGUCUUUGGGUAGAUCCCAUAUCUUACUUGUUAAAAUAUUUUCCCACACAUCAUGACUUACUUGGUUGCGCAACAUGCCACCAAGGGCCUUUGCUGUCAAAGGCAAACCCUUGCACUUUCUCACUAUUUCCUCACCAACUUCUUUCAAGUGCGAAUGAACAUCAAAGUUACUUUUCCCUAAUGCUUGUUGAGUGAAUACAGAUAAACAAUCUUCGUAUGAUAACUCCUGAAGACGAUAAGCUGGGAGAGUUCGAGUGAUUGAUACAACACCUUCAUUGCGAGUUGUGACAAUAAGCUUACUACCCGGUGUCCCUGAUCUCAUUGGCAUGCACAAAAACUCCCAUGAAUCAUGGUUCUCAUUCCAUACAUCGUCUAGGAUAAGAAGAAAUUUCUUCCCGGAAAGGUUCUCCCUUAAUGCCAUCUGAAGCAAAUUAAGAUCAUUAACAUCCUGAGUAUUCGGAGAAACUGAUUGUAGAAUUGUUUUCGUGAUCUUCAAGACAUCAUAAUCAUCAGAAACAUAGACCCAAACUCUCAAAUCAAAAUGAGCUUUUACUUCAUCAUCGUUGAAUGCAAGUUGGGCGAGAGUAGUUUUGCCAAUACCAGCCAUACCGACAACAGGAAUCACGCAGACUUCAUCAGUACAUGAAUCAUCCCUGAGUAACAAGUUGGCUAUGGCUGCUUUAUCCGUUUCCCUACCAUAAACACGGGACUCAUCCACUAAAGAAGUGGUGGGAAGUAUUUCCCUUGUUUUGGUAGACCUCUUCCCAGCAAUAUUCUCUGUUAAAUGGAGAUCAUUUUUUUGUGCAGAAAUUUCUUGUAACCCGGCGGUGAUCUUCUUGAAUUUGGACCACAUCUCCGCAUUAAACUUAAUAGAAUUUGGAGUGAAACUAGUACAACAAGAAGGGAUGAGGCUCCGUAACUUACUUGUGCUAGGUUGAGUGCCAGAAGGAAGGGUUUCCGCCAUCAAAUUGCGUCGCAAAGCUUCAGUGGCGAAGCUGUCCAAGAUGUCCUCCACAUCAUAAGCCAAGUCUCCGAGCUCGUCAAGCCACAUCUUCACCAGGGGGUCCGUCAUAUGCUUCUCCUCUGCGUCAUGGAGGACUACAUAGAUCUUCGUCAAAAUUUUCUUCCACUUGUUAAGCUCAGAAUGGACGUGCUCUUCGCUAGCGAAAUUCCAGAGCUCAGGGGAGGUGACCAUGUCAAUCAGUUUCUGGAUGAGACCAGACAAAACAGCUUCCCCAACAAAACCAGCCAUGAUUCUUUGUUUGUAAGUAGAAAGGAAUUAAUCAAAGAAAGUCUCUGCAGCUCUGAAUAAUGGUUUGUAGGAGGAACCCAAGGGUUUUAAAGGAAGUCUCCGCAACUCAUAUUGUUGAGUCAACACAAAAUAUCUCUAAGGUUCCAUAAAAGGGAAUGGAAUUAAUGCACAGUAGAAAGUGGUUGUGGCGAGGGCCCACAUGGUGUGGAUGAAGUACUAGAGUGUUGCUCCACAUGGGGCUGGUUCCUAGAAAAUAGAGAAAGUUGUGUUUGCAAGUAACAUGACAAUCAAACUCCAAUCAGCUAGAAUAUGAGAUUUGACUAUCAAAGGGGAAAAUAUUAUCUUUUUUGUGCACUCUUUGCUGACUCCAUUUUAUGUUCUUAGAUUGCCCCUCCGUGCCUCCAUGUUAGUUGCAACUUUAUCUCCAUAUCAGCAACAAGCCCUCUAUGUCACAAGAGAGACUGAAAAUUUAAAAAACAGAAAAAUCUGAAUUUGAAACCUAUGAAAAAUCACUUGAUUUGACAACCGGCUGUUAUUUCCCUAAUUUGAAACCUUUCUUCUCUCUGAUUUGGGAACAUUUCUCUCUCUCUCUUUCUCUCCCUCUUGGUUUCAUCACCCACACAAUCUCGAGACCUAUCUAAAAUUUCCCAAAUAUUGUCUCAUUUAAGAGAAAAAAAAAGCAAUAAUCCAAAACUCCAACUUGCAUGUUUUUUUAUUGUCCACAUAAAAGUGCAACGAAAUGGAGCAUUCCAUCCUAAGAAUGUGUGGUUAAAAGACGACUUCAAGAGGCGCAUAUGUGAUUGUGAGUUUACUACAGCAGCGCAUACUCGAACGGAAAGUUGGAAUCCAAAAUAUUGGCUUCGUCAACAAGAUAUCUCUUACUAUCAUUGAGUCACAUUUUGCCCUAACCCUAAAUUGAAAUUGGAAGGUAAAUAAUUUUUAUUUAUUGUUCUUUAGUUCCUUUGUUUGAAAUGGAGCACAUCAACGAUUUUGGAGUCGUUGGUGGACUUGAACUUUUGUGUUGGGUUGUGGAAAUCAUAUUAUUCCCAAAAUAACCAUAUGACAUACAAGUUGCAUUGAAUCCAGAUGGAACUCACAACAUAUCCGGUUGCAAAUCGCAUUAUUAUUUUAGGGAUUGUACUUUAGGUACUACUUUAACGGAGCUUAGGUAGUAUCUUAGUUAAACUUGGGUAGUACUCGUUCGAAGCCUUGGAACUUCAAUUUUGGACAUUACUUACUUCAUUUGUGACUCUUAGAGCAUGCCAUUAUGUGAUUAUUUAGUGUGAUGAAAUGGUUCACCUUUCUUAUUUUGGAGAUUGUACCUUAGGUACUACCUUAAUGGAGAUUAGGUACUACCUUAGUUAAACUUGGGUACUACUUGUCCGAAGCCUCGGAACUUCAAUUGUGGACAUUUCUUACUUUAUUUGUGACCUAUAGAGCAUGCCAUUAUGUGAUUAAUUAGUAUGCUCAAUUGGUUCACCUUUGUUAUUUUGGGGACUGUACCUUAAGUACUACCUUAAUAGCCCUUAGGUACCACCUUAAUCAACCUUAGGUACUACCUUAAUCGACCUUAUGUACUACCUUAGUUAAAGUUGGGUACUACCUAUCUGAAGCCUCGGAACUUCAUUCGUGACCCUUAGAGCAUGCCAUUAUGUGAUUAUUUUGUGUGGUCAAGUGGUUCACCUUUGGUAUUUUGGGGACUGUACCUUAGGUACUACCUUAAUAGCCUUUAAGUACCACCUUAAUCAACCUUAGGUACUACCUUAACCGACCUUAGGUACUAUUUUAGUUAAAGUUGGGUACUACCUAUCCGAAGCUUCAGACCUUCAUUUGUGACCCUUAGAACAUCCCAUUAUGUGAUUAUUUAGGGGUUUUUUUGGUUUCCAUAGGCUGAUAUGGAAAUAUUGGUAAAAUAGAAACCCAUCUUAACAUUUACUUUUUGUUUGAAUGAUUCACUUUUGAAGGGUGAUUCAUCAUAAGGCAAUGCAUGAGAUGAUAAUGACAUGUCAUUUGCUGCUAUGCCCUCGACUGGAGUUGAAGAUGCAUCAUCACAAACUAAUGAAAUAGGUAAUUUGGACUAUAUGCUUAUCUUUUCAAGUAAUUGUGUUAAAUUUUAUUUGCAGUUGAUGUAACCCUUGUAAUCUUUAUUGGUUUGCAUCUUUGACAAGAAUGUUAAGAUCUUUGUUUUCAAUUUUCUUGUACUCAACCAAAUAACAAAAGUUAACAUCUUUAACAAAAAUGCAUUUCCUUGAAACAAAACCGAAAAAAGUGCAUCCAAAGUUCAAACAACCUCAUGACCAUAAUUUUUUAUUGUAGUAUGAGCACUUGUUUUGCAGGAAAUGAAGACUGUAAUCCACCAGCUGAAGAAGAAAGAACCAAUGAGAGAGACAUCGGUUUGGACCAAAACCCGCUUCACUCUCUUCCACACUUGAUCAACUCCUCAACACUAAUAGAUAGUCUUCUAAUGCAAAAACGCAUGAGUUUUUGUAGGUGGAUCAAUGAUAAUGAGCCUAAUGAUAUUUGUACCAAGCAACUCAUACUAGCUACAAUGAUGCAAUUGAAAAAAGUGAUACGUGAGAUGGAUACACACAACAAGAGCAGGUGGGAUGAGAAGCCUGAAUGAAGACCUUUUUGGUUGUUCUGUAUCCUUUUUAUGUUUUCUUUCUUCAGGAGAAGAUGACUCUAUUAUGUUUUUUGUAGUUUUUUUAGAUGAAUGUUAGUAUGGUUCCUAUGGAGAAAGGUUAAAAAAAAUUGAGGAAAGAAAAUAAAUGUUUUUUUAUUUUAUUUUAUUCCCAUUGUCCUAAAAAAAUAUAUUGGAAAAUUUAAUUUUCUCUUAUUUGGACAUUAUCAUGGAUGAUCAAACAAAGAUAACAACUUUCUGAGAACAGGAAUAAUACAGGGUGUACAAGAAGAUUUUUUGGAGAAUGUCUGGAAUGUAGGAGGAGAUGCCUCAGACAAUGCUUGGAAUGUUGAAAUGUGAAAUGGAAAUGACAACCAAACCCACUGUACUUUUCUCACAAACCAAAUGCACCCAAGACAAAUGACACAUUAGAAUCAUAAGGAACAAAACAUAAGCCACUUUCCUUAUUUUAAGAAAGAAAACUUAGGAUUUGUAUGCAAAUUGUUUAAAUAAUAGUUCUUAUUAUUUAAAAUAGAAAAUAGUAUUUUUACUUAGAAAAUAUAUUUAAUAAUUUUUUUAGAAGAUAAAGAAUGAUAGGAGGAUUUGUGUAUUGUAUAAAUGUAUGGUUUCUUUUAGGGAAAAUAAGUCAAUGAAAUUGUUUUUUCAUUAUUUAAGUUCCCAAUAAAGGGUUUUUUUUUUUUUUUUUUUUUUUAAGGUUUUGAAAAAUAAUAAAGAAAAAAGAAUUCCUAUAAUUUUAUCGUCCAUGAUUAAAUUAUAGAUGAGGAAAAUUUCUUUGCCCUUCUUCUUUGUUUUAAUAUUUUUUAAUUACAUUAUUUUUGCAUUAUCCAAAUAUAAUUUAUAUAAAAAAACAAACAUAAUUUAAAUAAUUAGAAAUUUAUUUUUACUUAUAUUGAAAAAAUUUGUACAUAUUAGCUUUAAUUUAAAUUUGAAAUAUGCUAAAAUUUAAUUUCCCUAGAUACAGUUUUUAACUUUACAUCUCAACUAAAAUUUAUUCCUAAGCUUAUGAUGUGUUAAAAAAUCUCAAAUUGUCUUAUGUUGUGAGUUUUAACAAACAAAUUGUCUUAUGUGCCAAAUGUUUGAGUCAUCAUUUUUAGUUUAACAAAGUUGAUAAUAAUAAUCACAUAGUACCUAUGAACACUACGAAAAUAUAUUACUAGACAUUGAUAUUCAUAACACAUUUCCACAACCUAUGUUAAACUAGAUAUUACAAUAAGCAAAACACAUGCUAUAAAGAAGCCAACAAAGAAACUGAUUACAUAUGUAUAUGAAAUAUUUUGCAAGGAAUGCUUAUCAUCAAAUGCAUGUUCAGACUUUGGUUUGCCAGCUGAUGAACAUUCAUUACUUCUAUUCCAUCUUGGUGCAUAAAACAGCUAAACUCGGACAACUUUCUCUCUAGAAGUAUAUGCUUUGUAAACAUUCCCUUUAUAAAGGAGCACAUUCUUUUGACAUUAAACCCAAGAAUCGUACACUCCAUGUCUGCCACCUGCAAACACUACAUACUAUGUUUGCAUGUUCAUCAUCUGAUGACACAAUUGUUGUUGGUUACUUUUUGAUAAUCAAUCAAGUAAUGACUAUUGCAAAAGAUAGUACAAAAGGUAUAUAAUUCACACAUGUAUACCAUAUAUAUUUUAGGAUAAUAAUAGUGAUGAUUAACCACAAAAUUCAAAAUAUAACAAGUAAUGUGUGGGAUUCAAGUUCUAAGGCUUCAUAUAGGUAGUACCCAACUUUAACUAAGGUAGUACUUAAGAUUAGUUAAGGUAGUACCUAAGAUUGAUUAAAGUGGUACUUAUGGGCUAUUAAGGUAAUACCUAAGGUACAAUCCCCAAAAUACCAAAAGUGAACCAAUUGAACACGCUAAAUAAUAACAUAAUGGCAUGCUCUAAGGGUCACAAAUGAAGGUCUGAAGCUUCGGAUAGGUAGUAUUGAUUACUAAUAAAAAACCACACAUUUUAGAUAAUAAUUCUCAUGAGUGUCAUAUCUUUUGGGUAGUAAUUAUGCUUAAAACACUCAAUUAAUAUGUUUUUGCCCUAGCAAGAGUUACUAACAAUUUUUAUGAAGUUUUGGAGUCAUUUCAAGGUAUGAUUUUGAUAAAUUGGUGACAAAAGAGAUGAAUCAAAUUGAAGAGAACAAAUAAAGUUGAUGAUGAUCC